CCCUUAGAUGUUCUGGGCCGCACGCGCGCUACACUGAUUCAUGCAACAAGUUUUGUCCUUGGCUGAUAGGCCUGGGUAAUCUUUGAACGUGAAUCGUGAUGGGGAUAGAUGAUUGCAAUUAUUCAUCUUCAACGAGGAAUUCCUAGUAAACGCAAGUCAUCAGCUUGCAUUGAUUACGUCCCUGCCCUUUGUACACACCGCCCGUCGCACCUACCGAUUGAAUGGUCCGGUGAAAUCUUCGGAUCUGAGAGAUGUCUGAUUAAUUUCGGACGCCUUUUGGAAAAGUUGCUUAAACCUNANCAUUUANAGGAAGGUGANGUCGUNACA
rnacentral:rRNA from 1 species